AGAGUCUGACGGAGCACGCCGCGUGAGUGAUGAAGGCUUUCGGGUCGUAAAACUUGUUGUUAGGGAAGAACAAGUGCUAGUUGAAUAAGCUGGCACCUUGACGGUACCUAACCAGAAAGCCACGGCUACUACGUGCCAGCAGCCGCGGUAAUACGUAGGUGGCAAGCGUUAUCCGGAAUUAUUGGGCGUAAAGCGCGCGCAGGUGGUUUCUUAAGUCUGAUGUGAAAGCCCACGGCUCAACCGUGGAGGGUCAUUGGAAACUGGGAGACUUGAGUGCAGAAGAGGAAAGUGGAAUUCCAUGUGUAGGUGAAAUGCGUUGAGAUAAUGUGGGACACCAUAGUC
rnacentral:rRNA from 1 species